CUGUGUGAUCUUCUCAAGUCUAAAGUUGAAUCAUCUGACUUUCUUGAAAAGCUUGGAAGCAACAAGUCAGUUCCUCACAAUAUGUCUGAUGAGAAUGCAUCUUGGGAUAUGGUUAGCAUGACAGAUUUGUGGGAAGAUAAGCACAUUGGUGGGAGUGAUGAAUCAGAUCCUGAUGGUUAUGUUCUUGUCAAGCAAGAGGACAUAGUGGAGGGGAUUGCUUGCUUCAUGGCCGAAUGCCUAUUAUCACUGAAACAAACUAAAAUGGCCCAUUUUCCUCCAUUUACCAGACUGAAUCAUGUGCAGCCCUUCCCCAAUGUUUUAAGUGCUGUGCUUUGAUGCUGUGUCGGCCGGACACUGGGUGGCACUUGUCAUUCAUGCCAGUGAUUGACACCAACUGGCAGGCAUGCACUGACAUGGUAUGUGCCAACGAAUGACCAGCAUGGAAUUAACUCCCAAUCAACUUCAAGAAGCCCUCAGCAAAACAUUCUCUGUGAAAAAGAAGAAAAGUAUACUUCGGAAGGCAUGGGAUGGAGGCAAAGUUAUUUAUAACCUGGGUUCCUGGAGUGCAACUGCUGUAGGCAUAUACCAGAAUCCAGCAAUGCUUGAAGCAGCCGCUGCAGCCUUUUGGUCUUCCUGCCGUGUGAUUUCAAAGUUAAUAUGAAACUUUUCUGUAAUGAUUUGGGGAACAUGUUUCCUCGGAAAAAAAAAGAAAAAACAGAGAUUUGGGGAAGAUGUGAUACCUCAAGGAUAUGGUAUUCUGCGAAGUAUCCAGGGCCUGGCGCUGUCUUUGUCUCUGAAGAUAAGCUGUUUCAAGGACCUUCACAGAGCUGCCGGAAUUUGACACUCGUUGCUUAUUGUUUGGAAAAUGAUACUAGCUCCCAAAGAUGUAAAAUGCGCAACCAUCUACUUCUAGAUGAUUGAUUGUCCUUUCAUAGUUGUACAUACCUCAACUAGUGAUAUUUGUGAGAUCAACUGUAAAUAUUUCAUUCUUUAGGCAUAUUUAAUACUCCUUUAUCUAAAUCAUAUGGUUUGAGUUCACUUUA